rnacentral:rRNA from 1 species
UGCAAGUCGAGGGGUAACGGAAGCAGCUUGCUACUAGACGACGACCGGCGCACGGGUGAGUAACGCGUAUGUAAUCUGCCUUGUACAGAGGGAUAGCCCAGAGAAAUUUGGAUUAAUACCUCAUAGUAUUACUGAAUCGCAUGAUUCGGUAAUUAAAGCUCCGGCGGUACAAGAUGAACAUGCGUGACAUUAGCUAGUUGGUAAGGUAACGGCUUACCAAGGCAACGAUGUCUAGGGGUUCUGAGAGGAUGAUCCCCCACACUGGUACUGAGACACGGACCAGACUCCUACGGGAGGCAGCAGUGAGGAAUAUUGGUCAAUGGACGCAAGUCUGAACCAGCCAUCCCGCGUGAAGGAUGACUGCCCUAUGGGUUGUAAACUUCUUUUAUAUGCAAAUAAACCUACUUUCGUGAAAGUAGCUGAAGGUAGCAUAUGAAUAAACACCGGCUAACUCCGUGCCAGCAGCCGCGGUAAUACGGAGGGUGUAAGCGUNAUCCGGAUUUAUUGGGUUUAAAGGGUACGUAGGCGGUAAUAUAAGUCAGUGGUGAAAUCCUGCAGC